rnacentral:rRNA from 1 species
CAGCAGCCGCGGGAAUACGAAGGGUGCAAGCGUUACUCGGAAUUACUGGGCGUAAAGCGUGCGUAGGUGGUGGUUUAAGUCCGUUGUGAAAGCCCUGGGCUCAACCUGGGAAUUGCAGUGGAUACUGGGUCACUAGAGUGUGGUAGAGGAUAGUGGAAUUUCCGGUGUAGCAGUGAAAUGCGUAGAGAUCGGGAGGAACAUCUGUGGCGAAGGCGACUAUCUGGGCCAACACUGACACUGAGGCACGAAAGCGUGGGGAGCAACCAGGAUUAGAUACCCGCGUAGUCCCUGUCUCUUAUAC